CGACCCCGGGUCAGGCGGGACCACCCGCUGAGUUUAAGCAUAUAAAUAAGCGGAGGAGAAGAAACUUACAAGGAUUCCCCUAGUAACGACGAGCGAACCGGGAGCAGCCCAGCUUGAGAAUCGGGCAGCUGUGCCAUUCGAAUUGUAGUCUGGCGAGGCGUCCUCAGCGACAGACCGGGCCCAAGUCCCCUGGAAAGGGGCGCCUGGGAGGGUGAGAGCCCCGUCCGGCCCGGACCCUGUCGCCCACGAGGUGCCGUCAACAAGUCGGGUUGUUUGAGAAUGCAGCCCAAAUCGGGCGGUAGACUCCGUCCAAGGCUAAAUAUAGGCGAGAGACCGAUAGCGAACAAGUACCGCGAGGGAAAGAUGAAAAGGACUUUGAAAAGAGAGUCAAAGAGUGCUUGAAAUUGCCGGGAGGGAAGCGGAUGGGGGCCGGCGAUGCGCCCCGGCCGUAUGCGGAACGGCUCUUGCUGGUCCGCCGCUCGGCUUGGGGUGUGGAAUGUUGUCGGCCGCGCCGGCGGCCAAAGCCCGGGGGCCCUAGGUGCCCCCGGUGGCCGUCGUCGGCAUGGCCGGUACCCGCGUGCCGAAAGGCAUGUCCCUCGGGGCACUGCGCUGCAACCGCCUGCGGGCUCCCCAUCCGACCCGUCUUGAAACACGGACCAAGGAGUCUGACAUGCGUGCGAGUCGACGGGUUCUGAAACCUGGGAUGCGCAAGGAAGCUGACGAGCGGGAGGCCCUCAUGGGCCACACUGCUGGCCGACCCUGAUCUUCUGUGAAGGGUUCGAGUUGGAGCACGCCUGUCGGGACCCGAAAGAUGGUGAACUAUGCCUGAGCGGGGCGAAGCCAGAGGAAACUC
rnacentral:ncRNA from 1 species